CCCGCCGCGGCCAGCCGCGCCUGCCUGGAGCCCCCUGGCCAGCGGCCGGCCGCUGGGGCCGAGUAUUGUCCCAAAGGCCGAAAAGAGACGAAAGCGGGGAGAUUGGGGGACAGCCACGUGACCGGGGGAGGAUUUACAAUAUUUUCUUUCGCUGUCGACAGUAUUGCAAAAUGUAUGGAAGGGACCGCACGGCCAGGACAGGAGCGUGAGCGCGCGGGCAAGACAGGUUUUCGAAGCGCCCGCGCUGUGCCCGCCGGAGCCCGGGGUCUCUCCAUUUCACCCGGGAGGAAUCUGAGGGGCAGAGGCCAGCUUACCGACACGACACACGCUGAGGGGACUCAAACCCGGCUGUCGUAACCUGGGGACCACUCCCUCCACGGAUAUUUUUAUGUCAUUAUUGGGUUAAUGUUUGUUUCCCUCCAUCAAAUCGUUUCCCCCCUACCGGAAAUCUGAUGGGCUUAUGACAUCAUGGCUGCUGAGCGAUGAAGCAGAUGCCACAAAGAAAUCCGACAUAUCGGAUGGAUUCUGAAAUCAGUUUCCCUCUGGCUGCGGUAACAGGCGUGAAGUCAGGAGAAUGUGAGCUUUGUUUAAGAAACAAAAAAAUAAAACUAAGCCCUGUCCCGUAUUCGAUACAAUUUUUUUUUUUUAAGCAAACAGACCUUUUGGACAUCAUCCUAUUUUAAUAAAGACGCUGGCGUGUAUGAAAUGAAAGCGGCUAAUAAAUCAGACCUGAAGCUGCCUGUGAACAUUCCCUUUUGGCUGAGUUUUUGUGUGUCCUUCUUCACUAAUAAAAGAGGAACUGGGAA